rnacentral:rRNA from 1 species
GGAGUUAGCCGGUGCUUCUUCUGUGAGUGAUGUCCUUCCUGCCGGUUAUUGACCCGCAGGCCUUCUUCCUCACUGAAAGUGCUUUACAACCCGAAGGCCUUCUUCACACACGCGGCAUGGCUGGAUCAGGGUUGCCCCCAUUGUCCAAUAUUCCCCACUGCUGCCUCCCGUAGGAGUCUGGGCCGUGUCUCAGUCCCAGUGUGGCUGAUCAUCAUCUCAGACCAGCUACGGAUCGUCGCCUUGGUGAGCCGUUACCUCACCAACCAGCUAAUCCGACAUAGGCUCAUCCGAUAGCGCGAGGCCCGAAGGUCCCCCGCUUUCCCCGUACGGGCGGUAUGCGGUAUUAGCCUGGGUUUCCCCGUACGGUUAGUUCCCCCACCUACCGGGCCGAGAUUCCUACUGCAUUACUCACCCGUCCGCCGCCUCGCCACCACGGGAGGCAAGACUCCCCGUCGCUGCCGCUCGACUUGCAUGUGUUAGGUCCGUCGCCGCCCACGCGGUUCUAAUACUGAGCCACGAAACUACGAAACCCUACCGACUACGAGGCGGGCGGUCGGCGGAACGGACGGACCGACGUAAGAG